GAAUCUAGCCGGACGGGGUCAAUGGGCGAUCAAGAAGGCCCAUGGCCUAGUUUGGUGACUUCAAUUGCACUUUGGAGGGGUGCCUGCCUAAGGUCAACCCAAGUGGUUGAGCCUACGUUCAAUUUUUGGCAGUGGGGGCUUGUUUUAGCGUGGCCCCUA
rnacentral:snRNA from 1 species